rnacentral:tRNA from 1 species
GCUGAGAUGAAUGGAGAAACCACGGACUCAUAAUCCGUGGGUCCUAGGUUCAAGUCCUAGUUGCCCCA